AGGACGGACACUUACUGGGGCUGGAACACGGGGGAGGCGGAGGCGGCCGGGAUUGAGAGGUGGGCCGGCAGGGCUGGGCUUCUCACCUCCAAGAAGGUGCCUCCUGGCAGCUCCCCUCCCCCACCCCCUGCCCCCCCACUCCCCAUCCCCCCCAUCUUCCUCCCUCUCCUCCACCCCAUCCCAUCCCCCCCCCAGGACCCAUGGCAAAGGCCAGCGGUUUCUCUAGGGAACUGGCCUAACUGGGCGAGGACUUUUUGAACCAGACUUCAGAGCGGAAUUUUUUUCUCUCAAAAUAGAGAGGAAUUGGCUGUCCAGGAGUUAAAGAUAGAAUCCUGUGGCGAGACCAAGGUCUGAUCCCCGUCCCAGCUGGCAAAGGGAGCUGUGGAGGCCUGGCCUCUGGGGCUCCGAGGGGCUGCAGCUGGCGCUGAGUCACAUGACCAGCACCCCCAGCCCUCACCCCUCCCCUGGGCUGGGGACAGCAGCAAAUCAGGACUCAGCAGUGAGCCAUCUGUCCUGAGAGGGAGUGAAGACUGGGGGCCUCGAGGGGCUCAGUGAUAGAGCCAGGUCACCUUCCAUGGAGGGUCUCUGGAGGGCUUCCUGGAGGCGGGGAUCCCACGGAGGCAACAAGGCACGCCAGGAAGCGGGAACUCCCAGCAGCUCAGGGCCUGAAUUUCGGAGAUUUGUAGGCAGGGGUGGGCGGUCAGCUUGGGGCCAGCAGGGCUGGGAUGUCCUCUCUGGGGUGCAUUGUAUUUGUGGACAGUGAGGAGCCACUGCAAGUCCUGGUGCAAUGGGGCACCGGGGAGUGUCAGGCAACGGGGAACCUGCCCGAGUGAAGGCCCUGCCCCGAGGGGUCCAGCGUGGGCAGGCAGAGUUGGCAGCACCGUGGACGAGCCUGGCCCUGUGCACAGAGCUCCCUGCACCCAAGGGAUCCGAGGGCCAGAGAGGCCAUGGAGGGGCUCAGGGCUGGACCAGAGACCACGGUGGCUUCCAGCUGCCAGCACAGGUAAGGACAGCUCCAUCCCGCGGGAAGCCCGGGUGCGCGCUCACAGCUGUGGAACGUGUAUGUGUUUGGAGGUGCAUCCGGCCAGGGGCCCGGCUGGAGGGUGAGACACCUGGGGCUUGUGCUGCCCGCCCCGCACUGGCACCCUCAUGGGCUGUGCCCUCCAGCGCCUGGUGCUACAUUGGGGCUGCCGCUGGCAGAGGCCCAGGCCUCCCCUCAGAGCUGGCAGCCUUGCCAGGGCUCUGACUCACCUCUCAGGGCCAUUUCCCCCUGCAAAGCCGAGGAAUCUCCCAGUGCCAGGCAGGGAGGUGGCCGUGCACCUGGUGGGGCCCCGAGCCUCCCCCUUCCCAGGGAGAUCUGGGUGACGACAGGGAGGGGCCGGCCCUCCCUCCCCACCUGUUUGCCUCAGGGUGCUGUCUUCCCUUCCCAGCACUCUGCAGGCUGGAACCCCUUGGCUUAGUGGGGGGGGGGGCAGAACCCCACCCUCAUUCCUGGGGUGGGGGGGAGGUGGGUAAGCAGAAGCCCCUAAUGAGCUCAGGAAGCCGACGCCCCACAUACAGCAUCCUGACCUCUGCAGGGGCUGGUGAGCCAGGAACCUCAGCAACCUCUGCAGGGGCUGGUGAGCCAGGAAGCCCCUCCCAGAGUCAUUUCAGGUCACAGAGCCCACCAUUCACAUGGGGGUGUCACCUCUGCUUGGGGCCACACACGAGCAAGAAGAGGCGGCUUCGCUCCCACAGCCCUCGGCCUCUAAGGCGAGAAGUCCUCAGCUUCUGCGGACUGGAGCCAGACUUGAGCACAGGAGGCCACGUGGUGGCUCGGGACACAAGCCCGGGUGAUAGGGAACGUAAGGCUGAAGCCCCGGGAACUGCGGGGCCGUGCAGGGCGGGAGACUUCUGGGCGAAGGUCCCCGGCAGCCCGGCAAGGCCCUGGCCCAGACCCAGCCCUGCGUCCCCAUCAGCGCUUGAUCCCAUGGCCAAGGGGGUCAGCCGGGCCCUCCCACCCAUCACAGCCUCUCUUUUCCGAUGCCCUAGCCAGGACCGACGGGUGCACCAGGGGGAUGCUGAACCCGGGAGGUCCCGUCUCUGUGGUGCGAACGCUCCCCGCCCAGCAGGGCCGAGGUCCAGCUGCCAGCGACCCUGCGGUCAGGGCCAGUGUGGCUCCCAUCCCAGCAGGGGCUGGGCUUCGGUGUCCACCAGAACGCGGCCCCAGGCUGACAGACCGGUCCCUAUUUCGUCCAACAAGGUUGGCGGGACACGGCCGAGCCGUCGGGCCGGGGCUCCCAGUGGUUGCUCUGCUGUCGCACUUACAGGACUGAGUGACUGUCGCAGAGCUCACACGGCCCGAAGGCGCAAACACGCACCCUCUGCCCUUGACAGAGAAAGUCGGCACAUCCACGGCAGACGUGAAGCAAAAUGCAGCGAAAUUCUUAGGAAGAAAUGUGUUUAAGCGACGUAAGGAUUCACGGGCACGUUUCUGGAAAGAGUCAUCAGGAGGGUCAGGUUGUUUCUUGACCAGUCGCGGCGCCUGGGGUGUGGGCGCAUCUUGUCACACAAGGAAAAAGACAGAGCUGUGCCCCUGGGACGCCUGACUCCUCAGCAAGCGGUGCGAGGGGCUCUUGGUUAAGAAGGUAACGAGCAGGUCUCUCCCCAGGGCUGGGAACCACCUAUGCCCAGGACCUGCCCCCUAUCGUUGUCCCACCUCUGGUCACCCACCCAGGACCCCCGAUCCAGCUGGCCACCUACCGGGGGCCCUCCAGCGGUGUGCGGGGCGGGCGCAGCUGCUAAGGGACGCAGUGCACCUGUGGAGCCCCGGCCACUCCCCUCCUCCCUCUCUGGCGCUCGGCCUGAGCCCCCACGGUGGAGGGCCACACCCUGGGGCUGUGCCUGCCCACCCAGAGCAUCCGUCUCCCUGUCUGUGUCUGUCCCUCCCUGAAGCCGGAGCCCAGAGUCCUUUGAAGUCCGAGCGCCCCCCUCCCUCCACUCGGGGUCUAGUGGGGGUGCCAGGACCUGAGGUGGGGCCAGAACCAGCUGUCUGAGUUUCUGGAUCCCAGCAGGAGGGGGGAUGAGGGCGGAUGACCAGCUGGUGUUUUUGAAAGAUUCAGGCCUGCAGCUCCUGCGUGGGGGGAGUCGGGGCAGCUAGGCCCAAUGCCAGCGCUCCCCCCACCACCACCCUAGAGCUCCUCGGGCUGCAACUGCCCUCCCCCACAUGCCCGCCCAUCUCCAGACCACCCUGGUCCUCACCCGACCUGCCAGCGCGUGCAGCUGGUGGGCAGGGGAUGGGGGCGCUGCCACAUGCUGGCCCUGGGCCUGACCCCCCUCCGCCAAGAAGAGCCGGCACCCAGCACCCUCUGGUAGGGUCCAGACAUUCUUCCCAAAGGGUCUUUGGAGAGAGCAGGCAGCAAAGGUCUGCUUUGAAUAUCAAGGUUUUCCGAAGAU
rnacentral:lncRNA from 1 species